rnacentral:rRNA from 1 species
GAUGAACGCUGGCGGCGUGCUUAACACAUGCAAGUCGAACGAAGCGCUUUAACUUGAUUUCUUCGGAAUGAAGGUUUUAGUGACUGAGUGGCGGACGGGUGAGUAACGCGUGGGUAACCUGCCUCAUACAGGGGGAUAACAGUUGGAAACGACUGCUAAUACCGCAUAAGCGCACGGAACCGCAUGGUUUUGUGUGAAAAACUCCGGUGGUAUGAGAUGGACCCGCGUCUGAUUAGCUAGUCGGUGAGGUAACGGCCCACCAAGGCGACGAUCAGUAGCCGACCUGACGAGGGUGACCGGCCACAUUGGGACUGAGACACGGGCCCAAACUCCUACGGGAGGCAGCA